GAUGAACGCUGGCGGCGUGCCUAAUACAUGCAAGUCGAGCGAACAGACGAGGAGCUUGCUCCUCUGACGUUAGCGGCGGACGGGUGAGUAACACGUGGAUAACCUACCUAUAAGACUGGGAUAACUUCGGGAAACCGGAGCUAAUACCGGAUAAUAUAUUGAACCGCAUGGUUCAAUAGUGCAAGACGGUUUUUCUGUUACUUAUAGAUGGAUCCGCGCCGCAUUAGCUAGUUGGUAAGGUAACGGCUUACCAAGUCAACGAUGCUUAACCGACCCGUGAGAGUGUACGCCCACACUGUAUCUUAGAGAGGGCCCAGACCCCUACGGGAGGGAGCAGUAGGGAUUCUUCCGCAAUGGUCGAAAGCCUGACGUAGCAACGCCGCUUGAGUGAUGAAGUUCUUCGGAUCGUAAAACUCUGUUAUUAGGGAAGAACAAAUGUGUAAGUAACUAUGCACGUCUUGACGGUACCUAAUCAGAAAGCCACGGCUAACUACGUG
rnacentral:rRNA from 1 species